GCCUUCGUGGUGUAAUGGUCAGCACACUCGCCGCGUAUUCGAGAGGUCCGUGGUUCGAGUCCCUGCGAAGGCA
rfam:Stegodyphus mimosarum contig95790, whole genome shotgun sequence.